GACGAACGCUGGCGGCGUGCUUAACACAUGCAAGUCGAACGAGAAUCUACUGAAAGAGUUUUCGGACAAUGGAUGUAGAGGAAAGUGGCGGACGGGUGAGUAACGCGUGAGGAACCUGCCUUGAAGAGGGGGACAACAGUUGGAAACGACUGCUAAUACCGCAUGACGCAUAGAGGUCGCAUGAUCUUUAUGCCAAAGAUUUAUCGCUUCAAGAUGGCCUCGCGUCUGAUUAGCUAGUUGGCGGGGUAACGGCCCACCAAGGCGACGAUCAGUAGCCGGACUGAGAGGUUGAACGGCCACAUUGGGACUGAGAUACGGCCCAGACUCCUACGGGAGGCAGCAGUGGGGAAUAUUGGGCAAUGGGCGCAAGCCUGACCCAGCAACGCCGCGUGAAGGAAGAAGGCUUUCGGGUUGUAAACUUCUUUUAAGAGGGAAGAGCAGAAGACGGUACCUCUAGAAUAAGCCACGGCUAACUACGUGC
rnacentral:rRNA from 1 species